rnacentral:rRNA from 1 species
UCGCACGAGAACGCUCCGGCUUUGCCGGGGCAAGUACAGUGGCGGACGGGUGCGUAUCGCGUAGAUAACCUGCCCUUAGGCGCGGGACAAUCACGGGAAACCGUGGCUAAUACCGCACGUCGUCUGGGCCCCGCAUGGGGACCAGAUGAAAGCUUGGGGUUACCCAGGCGCCUUGGGAUGGGUCUGCGUUGGAUUAGCUUGUUGGUGAGGCAACGGCUCACCAAGGCAACGAUCCAUAGCUGGUCUGAGAGGACGAUCAGCCACACUGGGACUGAGACACGGCCCAGACUCCUACGGGAGGCAGCAGUGGGGAAUCUUGCACAAUGGGGUCACCCCUGAUGCAGCCAUGCCGCGUGGAGGAAGACACCCCUAUGGGGCGUAAACUCCUUUUCUGAAUGAAGAAACCCCUGUAGGUUCAGGGCGCGACGGUAGUUCAGGAAUAAGCACCGGCUAACUCCGUGCCAGCAGCCGCGGUAAUACGGAGGGUGCAAGCGUUGUCCGGAAUCACUGGGUGUAAAGGGUGCGCAGGCGGGGCAACAAGUCGGAUGUGAAACCCCAUGGCUCAACCAUGGAGGUGCAUUCGAAACUGUUGCUCUUGAGUCCCGGAGAGGCUGUCGGAAUUCGUGGUGUAGCGGUGAAAUGCGUAGAUAUCACGAGGAACACCAGAGGCGAAAGCGGGCAGCUGGACGGGUACUGACGCUCAGGCACGAAAGCGUGGGGAGCAAACAGGAUUAGAUACCC